rnacentral:rRNA from 1 species
GUGUCAGCCGCCGCGGUAAUACGUAUGUCCCAAGCGUUAUCCGGAUUUAUUGGGCGUAAAGCGAGCGCAGACGGUUCGAUAAGUCUGAAGUGAAAGCCCACAGCUCAACUGUGGAAUGGCUUUGGAAACUGUCGAACUUGAGUGCAGUAGAGGUAAGUGGAACUCCAUGUGUAGCGGUGGAAUGCGUAGAUAUAUGGAAGAACACCAGUGGCGAAGGCGGCUUACUGGACUGCAACUGACGUUGAGGCUCGAAAGUGUGGGUAGCAAACAGGAUUAGAUACCCUGGUAGUCCACACCGUAAACGAUGGAUACUAGUUGUUAGAGGGUUUCCGCCCUUUAGUGACGAAGCAAACGCAUUAAGUAUCCCGCCUGGGGAGUACGACCGCAAGGUUGAAACUUAAAUAAAUUGACGG